ensembl:misc_RNA Metazoa_SRP Metazoan signal recognition particle RNA
ACUGGGUGUGGUGGCGUGCACCUGUAGUCCCAGAUAUCUGGGAGGUUGAGGCGGGAGGAUCACUUGAGCCCAGGAGGUGGAGGCUGCAGUGAGCCAUGAUCACGCCACUGCACUCCAGCCUGGGCAAUAGAGCGAGACCCUGUCUCAA